GACGAACGCUGGCGGCGUGCUUAACACAUGCAAGUCGAACGAGAAGAGAUGAGAAGCUUGCUUCUUAUCAAUUCGAGUGGCAAACGGGUGAGUAACGCGUAAGCAACCUGCCCUUCAGAUGGGGACAACAGCUGGAAACGGCUGCUAAUACCGAAUACGUUCUUUUGUCGCAUGGCAGAGGGAAGAAAGGGAGGCUCUUCGGAGCUUUCGCUGAAGGAGGGCUUGCGUCUGAUUAGCUAGUUGGAGGGUAACGGCCACCAAGGCGACGAUCAGUAGCCGGUCUGAGAGGAUGAACGGCCACAUUGGGACUGAGACACGGCCCAGACUCCACGGAGGCAGCAGUGGGGAAUCUUCCGCAAUGGACGAAAG
rnacentral:rRNA from 1 species